GCAUAUCAAUAAGCGGAGGAAAAGAAACCAACAGGGAUUGCCCCAGUAACGGCGAGUGAAGCGGCAAUAGCUCAAAUUUGAAAUCUGGCCCUUUCAGGGUCCGAGUUGUAAUUUGCAGAGGGCGCUUUGGUGUCGGCAGCAGCCUAAGUUCCUUGGAACAGGUCAUCAUAGAGGGUGAGAAUCCCGUAUGUGGCUGCUUGUCUUCACCGUGUAAAGCCCCUUCGAUGAGUCGAGUUGUUUGGGAAUGCAGCUCUAAAUGGGAGGUAAAUUUCUUCUAAAGCUAAAUAUUGGCCAGAGACCGAUAGCGCACAAGUAGAGUGAUCGAAAGAUGAAAAGCACUUUGGAAAGAGAGUCAAAAAGCACGUGAAAUUGUUGAAAGGGAAGCGCUUGCAGCCAGACGUGCCCGUAGUUGCUCAUCUGGGGUUUUCCCCAGUGUAUUCUUCUAUGGGCAGGCCAGCAUCAGUUCGGGCGGUUGGAGAAAGACCUGUGUCACGUAGCUCCUUUCGGGGAGUGUUAUAGGGCAGGUGGAAUGCAACCAGCCUGAACUGAGGUCCGCGCAUCUGCUAGGAUGCUGGCGUAAUGGCUGUAAGCGGCCCGUCUUGAAACACGGACCAAGGAGUCUAACAUCUAUGCGAGUGUUUGGGUGUCAAGCCCGAGCGCGUAAUGAAAGUGAACGGAGGUGGGAACCCCUCGGGGCGCACCAUCGACCGAUCCUGAUGUCUUCGGAUGGAUUUGAGUAAGAGCAUAGCUGUUGGGACCCGAAAGAUGGUGAACUAUGCCUGAAUAGGGUGAAGCCAGAGGAAACUCUGGUGGAGGCUCGCAGCGGUUCUGACGUGCAAAUCGAUCGUCAAAUUUGGGCAUAGGGGGCGAAAGACUAAUCGAACUAUCUAGUAGCUGGUUUCCUGCCGAAGU
rnacentral:rRNA from 1 species